AUAUUGCACAAUGGGGGGAACCCUGAUGCAGCGACGCCGCGUGGGUGAAGGAGCGUUUCGGCGCGUAAAGCCCUAUCAGCAGGGAAGAAGGAGGACGGUACCUGACUAAGAAGCCCCGGCUAACUACGUGCCAGCAGCCGCGGUAAUACGUAGGCGGCAAGCGUUAUCCGGAUUUACUGGGUGUAAAGGGAGCGUAGACGGCAGCACAAGUCUGGAGUGAAAUGCCGGGGCUUAACCCCGGAACUGCUUUGGAAACUGUGCAGCUAGAGUGCAGGAGAGGUAAGUGGAAUUCCUAGUGUAGCGGUGAAAUGCGUAGAUAUUAGGAGGAACACCAGUGGCGAAGGCGGCUUACUGGACUGUAACUGACGUUGAGGCUCGAAAGCGUGGGGAGCAAACAGG
rnacentral:rRNA from 1 species